CUGCUUGUUUCAGCAGCACGUAUGCUAAAAUUGGAACAAUUCAGAGAGCAUGAACAUGGCCCCUGCGCAAGGCACUCAAAUUUGUGAAGCAUUCCAUAUUUUA